rnacentral:rRNA from 1 species
GAUGAACGCUGACGGCGUGCCUAAUACAUGCAAGUCGAGCGAACGGACGAGAAGCUUGCUUCUCUGAUGUUAGCGGCGGACGGGUGAGUAACACGUGGAUAACCUACCUAUAAGACUGGGAUAACUUCGGGAAACCGGAGCUAAUACCGGAUAAUAUUUUGAACCGCAUGGUUCAAAAGUGAAAGACGGUCUUGCUGUCACUUAUAGAUGGAUCCGCGCUGCAUUAGCUAGUUGGUAAGGUAACGGCUUACCAAGGCAACGAUGCAUAGCCGACCUGAGAGGGGAAUGGGCCCACCUGGAACUGGGACCCGGCCCAAACCCCCAGGGGAGGCAGAGGUGGGGAAUUUUCCCAAAGGGGGGAAAGCCUGACGGAGCAACCCCGCGUGAGGGAUGAAGGUCUUCGGAUCGUAAAACUUUGUUUUUAGGGAAAAAAAAAUGUGUAAGUAACGGUCCACACUUUGACGGUACCAAAUCAGAAAGCCACGGCUAACCACGU